UACGUAGGGGGCGAGCGUUAUCCGGAGUUACUGGGCGUAAAGCGUCCGCAGGCGGUUCCUUAAGUUUGAACUGACAGUUCCUGGCUUAACCGGGGAAGUGGUUCGAAAACUGGGGAACUUGAGGGUCCGAGAGGAAGAUGGAAUUCCAGGUGAAGCGGUGAAAUGCGUAGAUAUCUGGAGGAACACCAAAGGCGAAGGCAGUCUUCUGGAGGAUACCUGACGCUCAGGGACGAAAGCUAGGGGAGCGAAC
rnacentral:rRNA from 1 species